AUACACAUUUUUAAUUUUAUCACAUUUUUUUAUAUAUAUAUAUAAAAUAAUUUUCUCUACACUCUA
rnacentral:tRNA from 1 species